AGAAGAAACUUAAAAUCCAACUGUGACAUACUGGGGAGUAUGUAAUUGCUUAUUUGCUUUUGUAGUCCUCGUGGACGGGAACUAUUUGUGAAUGCUGGACUGUGAGAAUUGAGAUAUGAUGGAUAAUCAAGUCAUAAAUGGAGUAGAGUUUACUAGGCUUGCUAGGUGUGCAUGCAAGUAGAUGCAUGCAUGCGUGAGAACUUGUUUGUCUUUAGCCAAAUAAAGUCCACCGUUGCCUGGCGAUCAGGAUGCCGUCCAUCCCGUUUUGGUUUGAUAUCCAUCUCUUUCAUGGAAGUUCGACGACAGGUGCAUGCUAGCCUAGCUCCAUCAGAUGUAGGUUCUA
rnacentral:lncRNA from 1 species